rnacentral:rRNA from 1 species
AUGAGUAGUUCAACCUGCACUAUCAUAUCCUGGAACGUUAGAGGCCUAAAUUUCCCUGCUAAACGCCAUGCUAUUCAGGAAAGUCUAGCUGCUUGGAAACCAUCCAUUGUUUGUCUCCAGGAGACGAAAAUUAGUGACUGGACCGAUGCCCUCUCUAGGGAGAUUGGGGGUGCGACGCUAGACCAAGUUUGCCACCUGCCUCCCAACGGCUCAAGAGAAGGCAUCAGCAUCUUCUGGAACAACUCUCUGGUUCACCUUAGUAAUUGUAUCACCUCUCAGUUUUCCAUGACGGCUACUGCCAACUCCCUGACGGAGGAUAAGGAAUUCUGCCUCACGACAGUAUACGGCCCAACUGAUGUGAGCCUCAAAGAAGCUUUCCUUAAUGAACUAUGA